ACGCACGCUGGCGGCGUGCUUAACACAUGCACGUCGAACGGAAAGGCCUCUUUCGGGGGGUACUCGAGUGGCGAACGGGUGAGUAACACGUGAGUAACCUGCCCUUGACUUUGGGAUAACUUCAGGAAACUGGGGCUAAUACCGGAUAGGAGCUCCUGCUGCAUGGUGGGGGUUGGAAAGUUUCGGCGGUUGGGGAUGGACUCGCGGCUUAUCAGCUUGUUGGUGGGGUAGUGGCUUACCAAGGCUUUGACGGGUAGCCGGCCUGAGAGGGUGACCGGCCACAUUGGGACUGAGAUACGGCCCAGACUCCUACGGGAGGCAGCAGUGGGGAAUAUUGCACAAUGGGUGGAAGCCUGAUGCAGCAACGCCGUGUGCGGGAUGACGGCCUUCGGGUUGUAAACCGCUUUCGCUCAUGACGAAGCUUUGUGUGACGGUAGUGGGUAAAGAAGCACCGGCUAACUACGU
rnacentral:rRNA from 1 species